CCUACGGGUGGCAGCAGUGAGGAAUAUUGGUCAAUGGGCGCUAGCCUGAACCAGCCAAGUAGCGUGAAGGAUGACUGCCCUAAGGGUUGUAAACUUCUUUUAUAUGGGAAUAAAGUGCAGUAUGUAUACUGCUUUGCAUGUACCUUAUGAAUAAGGAUCGGCUAACUCCGUGCCAGCAGCCGCGGUAAUACGGAGGAUGCGAGCGUUAUCCGGAUUUAUUGGGUUUAAAGGGAGCGUAGGCGGGUUGUUAAGUCAGUUGUGAAAGUUUGCGGCUCAACCGUAAAAUUGCAGUUGAUACUGGCAGUCUUGAGAACAGGAGAGGUAUGCGGAAUUCGUAGUGUAGCGGUGAAAUGCUUAGAUAUCACGAAGAACUCCGAUUGCGAAGGCAGCAUGCUGGCCUGUAACUGACGCUGAUGCUCGAAAGUGUGGGUAUCAAACAGGAUUAGAUACCCUUGUAGUC
rnacentral:rRNA from 1 species